ACACAUGGUGAGACCUGCAGUACACCUGCCUAAAAGUAGAGGGCGCUGGUGAUCCCAGAGACUGUGACACCACAGCUAAGGAAUGAUAGAAUUAGUGGUAGGAAGUCAAGUGCAGCCGUCAGGUUCUUCUUUAUUAUUGUUUAGCAUCAUUUUCUAAAUGGAGGAUUUUGUGUCUAAAGUCAGGAAUUUGUGGAUGCGUCUCUGGCAGUGGUCUCCAUGGAGACAGAGAGACUGAAGAAAGAAAAGAAAGACUUCUACUGGCAGGUUAUCAAGGUGUUUCUUCAGAAGGAGCGGCACCCAGACUUCAUUUAGGAGUAAAAGCCACAACAGGUAUCCCGGUUGAAGCAGGAAAGAGUUGGAUGUGUGUACCUGGAGCUUCAGUCUGCGCCAAAGCCUCGAUGCUGGAAGUAUUCAACUAUUCAUGAGUGCUGGAAUCUCAUGUUCCCUCUCAGAGAGAGUGAGCUGAGAUGAAUGGUUGGUUGGAGUGCAGAGGGAUGCUGCUGUUCUUUCUGUUGCAGAGUUUGGGGAGUCAUGUUCUCUGCUGCUACAUUUGACGUUUGAAACAACCAGGUUAAAAAAAAUGUUAGCCUAUAUUUAUGACUAUACAAAUAAAAGUACCACACCUGCAAUUUUUAAAAAAUAAAACCAUGUUUAGUUCUCC